rnacentral:rRNA from 1 species
GGGAGCUCUCCCUAUGGUCGACCUGCAGGCGGCCGCGAAUUCACUAGUGAUUAGAGUUUGAUCAUGGCUCAGCAGCCGCGGUAAUACGUGCUUUACAAUCCGAAGACCUUCUUCACACACGCGGCAUGGCUGGAUCAGGCUUUCGCCCAUUGUCCAAUAUUCCCCACUGCUGCCUCCCGUAGGAGUCUGGACCGUGUCUCAGUUCCAGUGUGACUGAUCAUCCUCUCAGACCAGUUACGGAUCGUCGCCUUGGUGAGCCAUUACCCCACCAACUAGCUAAUCCGACCUAGGCUCAUCUGAUAGCGCAAGGCCCGAAGGUCCCCUGCUUUCUCCCGUAGGACGUAUGCGGUAUUAGCGUCCGUUUCCGAACGUUAUCCCCCACUACCAGGCAGAUUCCUAGGCAUUACUCACCCGUCCGCCGCUCUCAAGAGAAGCAAGCUUCUCUCUACCGCUCGACUUGCAUGUGUUAGGCCUGCCGCCAGCGUUCAAUCUGAGCCAUGAUCAAACUCUAAUCGAAUUCCCGCGGCCGCCAUGGCGGCCGGGAGCAUGCGACGUCGGGCCCA